GACGAACGCUGGCGGCGUGCCUAAUACAUGCAAGUUGAGCGCUGAAGGUUGGUACUUGUACCAACUGGAUGAGCAGCGAACGGGUGAGUAACGCGUGGGGAAUCUGCCUUUGAGCGGGGGACAACAUUUGGAAACGAAUGCUAAUACCGCAUAAAAACUUUAAACACAAGUUUUAAGUUUGAAAGAUGCAAUUGCAUCACUCAAAGAUGAUCCCGCGUUGUAUUAGCUAGUUGGUGAGGUAAAGGCUCACCAAGGCGAUGAUACAUAGCCGACCUGAGAGGGUGAUCGGCCACAUUGGGACUGAGACACGGCCCAAACUCCUACGGGAGGCAGCAGUAGGGAAUCUUCGGCAAUGGACGAAAGUCUGACCGAGCAACGCCGCGGGAGUGAAGAAGGUUUUCGGAUCGUAAAACUCUGUUGGUAGAGAAGAACGUUGGUGAGAGUGGAAAGCUCAUAAAGUGACGGUAACUACCCAGAAAGGGACGGCUAACUACGUG
rnacentral:rRNA from 1 species